GACGAACGCUGGCGGCGUGCCUAAUACAUGCAAGUAGAACGAGUUGCGAACGGGUGAGUAACGCGUGGUAACCUGCCUCAUAGCGGGGGAUAACUACUGGAAACGGUAGCUAAUACCGCAUACCAUCAGAUGUGCCCAGAUGGGAUUAGUUGGUUGGUGGGGUAAAGGCUCCCCAAGGCGACGAUCCCUAGCUGGUCUGAGAGGUUGAACAGCCACACUAGAACUGAGACACGGUCCAGUUUCCUACGGGAGGCAGCAGUUGGGAAUAUUGCACAAUGGGCGCAAGCCUGAUACAGCCAUGCCGCGUGUAUGAAGAAGGCCUUCGGGUUGUAAAGUACUUUCAGCGUGGAGGCGUUACCCGCAGAAGAAGCCCCGGCUAACUCCGUGCCAGCAGCCGCGGUAAUAC
rnacentral:rRNA from 1 species